UCCCUGGUGGUCCAGUGGCUAAGACUCCGCAGUCCUGAUGUAGGGGGCCCGGGUUCAAUCCCUGGUCAGGGAA
rnacentral:tRNA from 1 species